GCCUGGGUGGCUCAGUUGGUUAAGCAUCUGACUCUUGAUCAGCUCAUGUCAUGAUCUCAUGGUUGUAAGUUCGAGCCCUGCGUCAGGCU
rnacentral:tRNA from 1 species